UGGGCUCGAACGGCUUCCCAACGCCGGUAGAAAUAUCGGUACCCCGCAAGGGGGUGGAGUCGAGGUGCUGCAUGGCUGUCGUCAGCUCGUGUCGUGAGAUGUUGGGUUAAGUCCCGCAACGAGCGCAACCCUUGUCCUGUGUUGCCAUGCCGAAAGGCGGAACUCGCAGGAGACCGCCAGCGAUAAGCUGGAGGAAGGUGGGGAUGACGUCAAGUCCUCAUGGCCUUUAUGUCCAGGGCUACACACGUGCUACAAUGGCCGGUACAAACCGCCGCAAACCCGCGAGGGGGAGCCAAUCGGAAAAAACCGGUCUCAGUUCGGAUUGCAGGCUGCAACUCGCCUGCAUGAAGCUGGAAUCGCUAGUAAUGGCAGAUCAGCACGCUGCCGUGAAUACGUUCCCGGGCC
rnacentral:rRNA from 1 species